CCCUUAGAUGUUCUGGGCUGCACGCGCGCUACACUGAUGCACUCAACGAGUUUACGACCUUGUCCGAGAGGAUUGGGUAAUCUUUUUAAAAUGCAUCGUGAUGGGGAUAGAUUAUUGCAAUUAUUAAUCUUCAACGAGGAAUUCCUAGUAAGCACAAGUCAUCAGCUUGUGUUGAUUACGUCCCUGCCCUUUGUACACACCGCCCGUCGCUCCUACCGAUUGAAUGUUCCGGUGAGCUCUUCGGACUGCGCGGUCUGCAGUUUCUGCGUUCCGUGCGGAAAGUUGCGCAAACCUUAACAUUUAGAGGAAGGAGAAGUCGUAACA
rnacentral:rRNA from 1 species